UACAUAGAACUCUCUCUCCUUUCCCUCUCAGUAAAAAAAAGAACUCUCCUCCCAUACGAUCCCACCAGGCACCUCAUACACACCUGCCAUUUCUUCCAAUUUGCCGCCGGCGAAGGACGACGUCGAUGUGCCCCAUUAGGAAACUAAUCCUCAUGCUAUCCCAGAUCCGCAUGUCGCUUCUUUUCUCCUGAUUUUUCUUCCUUGGUGGUGGCACAUGUGGCUGGGUGAGCAUGUGGAUCUCGGCGAACUCGUCGACUCUGGCAACGCGGUCACGGAGAUGUCCAGUGAGAACGCGGGUUGUGCUACUCAAAGUUGUCGUAGCCGGAGUUUCUGGAUGUUGGAGCUGCGAAGGCAUUGAGGGAGUUCGCGGAUGAAGAAAUAUCUGCAAGACGUGAGUAUCUUCUGUGAGUCGAUGUUAGUUGUUGCCCUCCUACUGUCCAGACUUCUACCAAAUAUCCUGUAUGAACCUAUGGAUUUGAUAUUUCAAUUAGUUGGACGCUCAUCGCUUCUGUAUUCAAUGCGCGCACGAAGGGCCACUUCAAGUCGCUUGGUGACAUAAUGAUUUCAGGAGCAUCACCUGCAAGCCUACCUUCAGUUUUAGCUCGUGGAUUGGAAUUCCUGGGAAGGUCAUGUUGUUGAGGAACUCUGCUGGACACAUAUUCUCCAUUGUGUUGUAAUUCAUUGUUGCCUUGCAUACAGUGUCCAAGUAUAGGAGCAAAGCUGCAAUGCCAGAUGAUACUACCGAAAUCACUUUCUUUCCUUCUGAUCGUAGCUUCGUUGUAAUUGCUUUCCAUAGGGUGUCCAUAGUAGAUUCUCCCAACAGCGAAGCCCCUUUUCCGCUCCUCAGGUUUUGGUUUCGCUUUUCCAUACAAAUUUUGAUGGUAAUUCUGCAUAGGUUAAUUCUUUUCCCACCUCAUGUAUUUUGUUUGCCUCCAUCCACUCAGUGAACUUAGUACUCGUGGAUCCUGGCCUUCUUACUAUCUUCUCUAUGUCAGUCGAGUCCGGAAAAAUAAGUUCUUGCUCAUUUUUAAUGUGGAAUGGUAGUCUCUCGACUGGUGGAUCAUGAUGGUGUAUAUCAAACAGGAAUGUUUGCCAGCAUGCUUCAGUUGUUGAUAUGUAUCUCAUCUCUAGGCCAAAAGUGCUUUGGCGUCCCUUCUUCCGAUGUCGAUUGGAUUGCUGGGCGUGGCUUCGUCAUGCGUUGAGCGUGCUUUGGCGUGACUUCAUCAGACGUCAAGUGAAGCGGCUGGAGGUGGCUGAGGUGGAUUUUCAUGUCGACGUCGAGUUGCCUAGUCGCGUGUGACGUCUUUGCUGACUUCUAAAUUCUUUGGGUGUGUGCUUCUGCGGCCGGCUGUACUCAUUUAUAUAUGGGUGGAGGUGUGUGGGUUCAGGUGGUUGUGACGGUGGAGAAAGCAGAUCGGUCUUUUUUCAUGUCAUGGUUCCUGUUUUGGAAGUUUCUCAUGUAAGGUCUGGUUAGGUCCAAUCGUUGUCCUUAUUUGUUUAGGUUUCCUAUUAUUUUUUAUUCCUUGACCCAUUGAUUGAAAUAUUUUUUCCUGUUUCUGCGGGCUAGUUGACGUUCGAAAGGAACCUAUGUGCGUUGUUUGUACGUGGCAUGUUUUACUA